UAUAAGGGAUUUUGAGUUUUUAUUUGCAACGUUUGACCACUCGCCUUAUUCAAAAUUUUUUGAAAUUAUUAUUAUUAUUUUACUUACUUUAUUAUCUACGGUAUUUUAAGCACAAAUUUUCGUUUUUUAUAUUUGCAAAAAAAAUUUAAAUAAGACAAGUGGUCAAACGUUACAAUAAAAACUCAAAAUCCCUUGUAUC
rnacentral:pre_miRNA from 1 species